rnacentral:rRNA from 1 species
CUGGCUCAGAUUGAACGCUGGCGGCAGGCCUAACACAUGCAAGUCGAGCGGUAGCACAGAGAGCUUGCUCUCGGGUGACGAGCGGCGGACGGGUGAGUAAUGUCUGGGAAACUGCCUGAUGGAGGGGGAUAACUACUGGAAACGGUAGCUAAUACCGCAUAACGUCGCAAGACCAAAGUGGGGGACCUUCGGGCCUCAUGCCAUCAGAUGUGCCCAGAUGGGAUUAGCUAGUAGGUGGGGUAACGGCUCACCUAGGCGACGAUCCCUAGCUGGUCUGAGAGGAUGACCAGCCACACUGGAACUGAGACACGGUCCAGACUCCUACGGGAGGCAGCAGUGGGGAAUAUUGCACAAUGGGCGCAAGCCUGAUGCAGCCAUGCCGCGUGUGUGAAGAAGGCCUUCGGGUUGUAAAGCACUUUCAGCGGGGAGGAAGGCGGUAAGGUUAAUAACCUUGGCGAUUGACGUUACCCGCAGAAGAAGCACCGGCUAACUCCGUGCCAGCAGCCGCGGUAAUACGGAGGGUGCAAGCGUUAAUCGGAAUUACUGGGCGUAAAGCGCACGCAGGCGGUCUGUCAAGUCGGAUGUGAAAUCCCCGGGCUCAACCUGGGAACUGCAUUCGAAACUGGCAGGCUAGAGUCUUGUAGAGGGGGGUAGAAUUCCAGGUGUAGCGGUGAAAUGCGUAGAGAUCUGGAGGAAUACCGGUGGCGAAGGCGGCCCCCUGGACAAAGACUGACGCUCAGGUGCGAAAGCGUGGGGAGCAAACAGGAUUAGAUACCCUGGUAGUCCACGCCGUAAACGAUGUCGAUUUGGAGGUUGUGCCCUUGAGGCGUGGCUUCCGGAGCUAACGCGUUAAAUCGACCGCCUGGGGAGUACGGCCGCAAGGUUAAAACUCAAAUGAAUUGACGGGGGCCCGCACAAGCGGUGGAGCAUGUGGUUUAAUUCGAUGCAACGCGAAGAACCUUACCUGGUCUUGACAUCCACAGAACUUUCCAGAGAUGGAUUGGUGCCUUCGGGAACUGUGAGACAGGUGCUGCAUGGCUGUCGUCAGCUCGUGUUGUGAAAUGUUGGGUUAAGUCCCGCAACGAGCGCAACCCUUAUCCUUUGUUGCCAGCGGUUAGGCCGGGAACUCAAAGGAGACUGCCAGUGAUAAACUGGAGGAAGGUGGGGAUGACGUCAAGUCAUCAUGGCCCUUACGACCAGGGCUACACACGUGCUACAAUGGCAUAUACAAAGAGAAGCGACCUCGCGAGAGCAAGCGGACCUCAUAAAGUAUGUCGUAGUCCGGAUUGGAGUCUGCAACUCGACUCCAUGAAGUCGGAAUCGCUAGUAAUCGUAGAUCAGAAUGCUACGGUGAAUACGUUCCCGGGCCUUGUACACACCGCCCGUCACACCAUGGGAGUGGGUUGCAAAAGAAGUAGGUAGCUUAACCUUCGGGAGGGCGCUUACCACUUUGUGAUUCAUGACUGGGGUGAAGUCGUAACAAG